AAAAAGGGACUUCUGCCGUGAGUGGCACAAGACAGGCAGCCUGCUUACUUUACAUGCAGAAUCCACAUCAAGAUAUUUCAGAAGCGUAAUAUUUUGGCAGAUUGGCAGCUAGUGAUCGUUGGUCCUGGUGCCCCC